GUCCCAGCAGCCGCCUUAACACCUCACUCUCUAGUGGUAGCCGCGUUUAUUGGGCCUAAAGCGUCCGUAGCCGGUCCGAUAAGUCUCUGGUGAAAGCCCACAGCUUAACUGUGGGAAUCGCUGGAGAUACUAUCGGACUUGAGGCCGGGAGAGGCUGGAGGUACUCCCAGGGUAGGGGUGAAAUCCUAUAAUCCUGGGAGGACCACCUGUGGCGAAGGCGUCCAGCUGGAACGGACCUGACGGUGAGGGACGACAGCCAGGGGCGCGAACCGGAUUAGAUACCCGGGUAGUCCUGGCCGUAAACGAUGCGGACUUGGUGUUGGGACGGCUUUGAGCUGCCCCAGUGCCGAAGGGAAGCUGUUAAGUCCGCCGCCUGGGAAGUACGGCCGCAAGGCUGAAACUCAAAGGAAUUGGCGG
rnacentral:rRNA from 1 species